rnacentral:rRNA from 1 species
UAGGGAAUCUUCGGCAAUGGACGAAAGUCUGACCGAGCAACGCCGCGUGAGUGAAGAAGGUUUUCGGAUCGUAAAACUCUGUUGUUAGAGAAGAACAAGGACGUUAGUAACUGAACGUCCCCUGACGGUAUCUAACCAGAAAGCCACGGCUAACUACGUGCCAGCAGCCGCGGUAAUACGUAGGUGGCAAGCGUUGUCCGGAUUUAUUGGGCGUAAAGCGAGCGCAGGCGGUUUCUUAAGUCUGAGGUGAAAGCCCCCGGCUCAACCGGGGAGGGUCAUUGGAAACUGGGAGACUUGAGUGCAGAAGAGGAGAGUGGAAUUCCAUGUGUAGCGGUGAAAUGCGUAGAUAUAUGGAGGAACACCAGUGGCGAAGGCGGCUCUCUGGUCUGUAACUGACGCUGAGGCACGAAAGCGUGGGGAGCAAACAGG